rnacentral:rRNA from 1 species
GACGAACGCUGGCGGCGUGCUUAACACAUGCAAGUCGAACGGUAAGGCCCUUUCGGGGGUACACGAGUGGCGAACGGGUGAGUAACACGUGGGUGAUCUGCCCUGCACUUUGGGAUAAGCCUGGGAAACUGGGUCUAAUACCGGAUAGGACUACGCGAUGCAUGUCGUGUGGUGGAAAGCUUUUGCGGUGUGGGAUGGGCCCGCGGCCUAUCAGCUUGUUGGUGGGGUGAUGGCCUACCAAGGCGACGACGGGUAGCCAGCCUGAGAGGGUGUCCGGCCACACUGGGACUGAGAUACGGCCCAGACUCCUACGGGAGGCAGCAGUGGGGAAUAUUGCACAAUGGGCGCAAGCCUGAUGCAGCGACGCCGCGUGGGGGAUGACGGCCUUCGGGUUGUAAACCCCUUUCAGCACAGACGAAGCGUAAGUGACGGUAUGUGCAGAAGAAGCACCGGCCAACUACGUG